ACGCAUUAAACAUUCCGCCUGGGGAGUACGGUCGCAAGAUUAAAACUCAAAGGAAUAGACGGGGACCCGCACAAGUGGUGGAGCAUGUGGUUUAAUUCGAAGAUACGCGAAGAACCUUACCUAGCCUUGACAUAUUUAAGAACACCUUAGAGAUAGAGUGGUGCCUUCGGGAGCUUUUAUACAGGUGCUGCACGGCUGUCGUCAGCUCGUGUCGUGAGAUGUUGGGUUAAGUCCCGCAACGAGCGCAACCCUCGUCACUAGUUACUAACGGUUCGGCCGAGGACUCUAGUGAGACUGCCUUCGCAAGGAGGAGGAAGGUGAGGACGACGUCAAGUCAUCAUGGCCCUUACGGCUAGGGCAACACACGUGCUACAAUGGCCAGGACAAUGAGAGGCAAUACCGCGAGGUGGAGCAAAUCUAUAAACCUGGUCUCAGUUCGGAUUGUUCUCUGCAACUCGGGAGCAUGAAGCUGGAAUCACUAGUAAUCGUAGAUCAGCUAUGCUACGGUGAAUACGUUCCCGGGUCUUGUACUCACCGCCCGUCACACCAUGGGAGUUGAUU
rnacentral:rRNA from 1 species